rnacentral:lncRNA from 1 species
AAUAGACUAAAUAAUCCUGCCUGCUGCCAGAAUUCAACAAGACACAGAUGGAAGUUGCAGUUAUCAGAUGUUUGAGCAGCAGAAUACGCUGCUUCUAGUCAUUGGUACUGAAGUGUUUCACUGGGAGGAUAAGUUUGUUCACUUGAUCUCUUCAGUUUGGGCUUGAAAUGGAACCCCUGGUGGUGACUUACUGUAAUUAAUGGACCAUCAUAUAUCAUUAGGACUUCCCUUAACUUAGAGUCACAGGGGGGAAAAAAUGGUGUAUUAAGAUCAAAAUAUGAUAUAUAUUUUUUUUUUUUAACAAAAAGCCACAUCUGAUAAAGAACUCGAAAGUUCUCCUCAAUGUCACUUAGUGAGCCAACACUGAUGGGAUAUUUCAUGAGGAUGAACAUCCAUAAAGAAACUGCUGAGAGUCCGUGACCUUUGGAAAUCAAUUACCUUUAGAAGGGAAUGACCAGAAUGACCUGAGGCAGAUGAAGAGGCAGUCAGUCCAGCUCACUUUUUCCUUCUGUGCAGUGUCAUCACAAAACUCUCCACUGAUUUUCAUCUGUUGUGACCACGCUGUUAAGAAAGUCUCUGGGAUUCCACCUGCCCAGCAGCCUCCUGGAACGUUUACUGCACAGGUAAUGGAAAAAGAAUUGUAAGCUGAUUUAAAAAGUUAUUUUGCUUCAAAUCUUCUGCAAAUAUCAGUUCGUGCAAUGGCUGUGCUAUCAUCUAAUACAUUAAUAUUCAU